AUAGGUAAAUCUGAAAACGGGGUGAACAUCGGAAACAGCUACUCCCAUAUUUCCAUUCAGGACCGUUAGUUGCAGGGUUUUCUCUACUGAGCACUAGGCGUUGGAUCAAUUCAUUUCCGGUAUUCGUGGCGCUCAAAAUGGCACGAGUUCCGCAUAAAACAUGGAUUAGAAUUUUAGCGGGGGAUCAAGUCAAGUCUGGAAGUGUUACAGGAUGGAAGAGUAAGCCUACAGUUGAAAAAACACUGAAAUUGCAUUACCAUUAAGAUAUG